rnacentral:rRNA from 1 species
CAGCCGCCACGGUAAUACGGAGGGUGCGAGCGUUAAUCGGAAUUACUGGGCGUAAAGCGUGCGUAGGUGGUUGUAUAAGUUAUCUGUGAAAUUCCUGGGCUCAACCUGGGCAGGUCAGAUAAUACUGUAUGACUCGAGUAUGGGAGAGGGUAGUGGAAUUUCCGGUGUAGCGGUGAAAUGCGUAGAGAUCGGAAGGAACACCAGUGGCGAAGGCGGCUACCUGGCCUAAUACUGACACUGAGGCACGAAAGCGUGGGGAGCAAACAGGAUUAGAUACCCCAGUAGUCCCUGUCUCUUAUAC